rnacentral:misc_RNA from 1 species
AAGUCGUAACAAGGUUUCCGUAGGUGAACCUGCGGAAGGAUCAUUACAAAUCCAUCCACGUCUCUCUCUACCAAGAGUGCAGACCAUGUUGAAUUGUUAUGGUGGUUAGUGUGUGGGGGAGGGUACCGUGGACCGAUCUGGGCAACCGGACGUGUGCCAUGCUCUCCCACUCACUACCAUCAUUAUACCACUAGUUUUUCUUGUUGCACAAAUGUAUUUACACUUCAUCACGAAGCAAAAAAGUACAACUUAUAACAAUGGAUCUCUAGGCUCUU